GAUUAACGCUAGCGGCAGGCCUAAUACAUGCAAGUCGAACGGCAGCGGGUGUAGCAAUACAUGCCGGCGAGUGGCGCACGGGUGCGUAACGCGUAUGCAAUCUACCUAUAACUGGGGAAUAGCCUUCCGAAAGGAAGAUUAAUACCGCAUAACAUCACGGAACGGCAUCGUUUUGUGAUCAAAACUCAGGUGGUUAUAGAUGAGCAUGCGUGACAUUAGCUAGUUGGUGAGGUAACGGCUCACCAAGGCGACGAUGUCUAGGGGGUCUGAGAGGAUGAUCCCCCACACUGGUACUGAGACACGGACCAGACUCCUACGGGAGGCAGCAGUAAGGAAUAUUGGACAAUGGCCGCAAGGCUGAUCCAGCCAUGCCGCGUGAAGGAUGAAGGUGCUAUGCAUUGUAAACUUCUUUUGUCCCGGAAUAAACCCCUGAUUUCUAUCGGGGCUGAAUGUACGGGAAGAAUAAGGGACGCUAACUUCG
rnacentral:rRNA from 1 species